AGUGAACGCUGGCGGUAGGCCUAACACAUGCAAGUCGAACGGCAGCACAGUAAGAGCUUGCUCUUACGGGUGGCGAGUGGCGGACGGGUGAGGAAUACAUCGGAAUCUACUUUUUCGUGGGGGAUAACGUAGGGAAACUUACGCUAAUACCGCAUACGACCUACGGGUGAAAGCAGAGGAUCUUCGGACCUUGCGCGAUUGAAUUAGCCGAUGCCGGAUUAGCUAGUUGGCGGGGUAAAGGCCCACCAAGGCGACGAUCCGUAGCUGGUCUGAGAGGAUGAUCAGCCACACUGGAACUGAGACACGGUCCAGACUCCUACGGGAGGCAGCAGUGGGGAAUAUUGGACAAUGGGCGCAAGCCUGAUCCAGCCAUACCGCGUGAGUGAAGAAGGCCUUCGGGUUGUAAAGCCCUUUUGUUGGGAAAGAAAAGCAGCAGGUUAAUACCCCGCUGUUCUGACGGUACCCAAAGAAUAAGCACCGGCUAACUUCGUG
rnacentral:rRNA from 1 species